AUUGAAAGGCAAGAGCUCCCAGCACAACAGCUUUGGCCUUACUCGCUCCUGAUUUCUGGGACAGACAAAUUACUCUUCUGGAAUCCUUGAAUUUCAGGAGCCAUGACAAGCAGGAAAGUCCAGUUGGUUCCCAGAAACUCCUACCUCCUGUGUCCCAUUACUGGAAGAUUCAGCUCAAGGCCAGAUCCUGCAGGGACAUCCCAAUUUCCUGCCCACAACUUACUGUACCAUCUUCUGGACCAUUUCUUUCUUGAUGGUUCACAUUGGAAUGGCUGAAGGCCAGCUUGUGUCUGCCUCUCUCUGGUUUCUCUUCCCCCUCCUUUCUCUCGACCCAACAGAGUCCUGAGUCUUCUCAACAUGUUCAUGGCUGAACUGUAAGGGCACUGAACCAACUGUCCAAAGGCAGUUGGUGUUGCUACAACACAGGUGACAUCAGAUAACAUUCUAAAGUCUCCAGGAUACAAUAGAAUGUCCAGGCAUGAGACACCCCUAAUGUCAUGGGGAACUGACAUUACCUCCCUGCUAACCAGAUCUCCUCAUCACUCUUCAGAAGUCAGGUUUCCCAUUCUAGGAAUCUCUCCUGGGACUCAAGAGAAAUGCUUCAGUACCCUUUUGUUCCAUUGCCAGAGGUUGCUCUCUGAUUUUUUGGAAAUUCCUCAGUACUUCCAUGUGGGAAUGAAAGGGACAACAUCACCUCAAUACAGGAUUUGGAAAGGCUCUGAUCAGUCUGGAGGAGGCAGGAAGUUCCUGAACACUCUGGAUAUCUACAGUUGCUGGUCUAUAACCAGGAACAGUGAUUUUUCAUUUGAUGUCUUUCUUCCACAAGACUUAGUAACAGGUCAAAUGAUUUUUACCUGUGAAGCACUAUGGUGUAUCUUUAGUUCUUCUAGUAUCAGGUCUCUUGAAUACCUGGUUGAAUCACUAGGGGCUUAGAGAAAAUGGCUAUAAAGCAAGCAAGAGAAAUAGAAAUCAGAGUUAUUUGGGUUUGUAGGAAAGACACCAAAUGGCUGAAAUGUCUACUGAGGGUGUUCAAUGUUCCUAGCUUGUUUAAAAUUUUCUCUUUCAUGUUACUUAUAACCAUGAAGCAUAACAAUGAUGCUGGGGCAGUGUGAGUAUUAGUUUUUUAUUACUCAUAUAAUUACUCAAACUAGAGUCCAUGGGAAGAAGGAGCCUCAAUAAGGAAUUGUUUGGAUUAAGUUGACUUUGAGCACAUCUGUUGGAGAUUUAUAGAUUGUUAAUUAGAUGGAGGUCUCACCCUAAAGUGUGCAGAACCACUUCAUUGCUGGGACCUGAACUGUGUAACAGUGAAGAAGCUGGAGCAUUUGCAGAGGCAAGCAGGCUGCAUGGCUGCAUUUCCAUCUCUCUGCUCUUGACAGUGGAUGUGAUGUGACUGAGUUCCUGCCUUGAUAUCCCCCAAAAUGGACUACUACCUGGACCUGUGGGCUAAAAUCAAUUCUUGUUCUGCUGUGCUUGGGAAAUUAAUAUAAAGAAGAUGCUAAGAAACCACUAUGUGACACAGGGGUUUGCACAAGUCAGGGAGAUGUGAAAGUAAUACAUGACAUGCUCAACAGCAGCGUAUCUGUCCAAAAGCAGGAGAUCCUGUUUUUUCCUGAACCCAACAUGUGUUUCCCUAUCACAGAUUUAUAAAGAGACACCCAUUGACUCAAA